UACGGAGGGGGCAAGCGUUGUUCGGAAUUACUGGGCGUAAAGGGCGCGCAGGCGGCUGCUCAAGUCAGGCGUGAAAGGCCUGGGCUCAACCCGGGAAUUGCGCUUGAGACUGGGCUGGCUUGAGUGCGGGAGAGGAUGGUGGAAUUCCCAGUGUAGAGGUGAAAUUCGUAGAUAUUGGGAAGAACACCGGUGGCGAAGGCGACCAUCUGGACGACAACUGACGCUGAGGCGCGAAAGCGUGGGGAGCAAACAGG
rnacentral:rRNA from 1 species